rnacentral:rRNA from 1 species
CCUACGGGGUGCUGCAGUGGGGAAUAUUGGACAAUGGGCGAAAGCCUGAUCCAGCCAUGCCGCGUGUGUGAAGAAGGCCUUCGGGUUGUAAAGCACUUUCAGUGGGGAAGAAAGCCUUGGGGCUAAUACCCUCGAGGAAGGACAUCACCCACAGAAGAAGCACCGGCUAACUCCGUGCCAGCAGCCGCGGUAAUACGGAGGGUGCGAGCGUUAAUCGGAAUUACUGGGCGUAAAGCGCGCGUAGGCGGUCUGAUAAGCCGGUUGUGAAAGCCCCGGGCUCAACCUGGGAACGGCAUCCGGAACUGUCAGGCUAGAGUGCAGGAGAGGAAGGUAGAAGUCCCGGUGUAGCGGUGAAAUGCGUAGAGAUCGGGAGGAAUACCAGUGGCGAAGGCGGCCUUCUGGACUGACACUGACGCUGAGGUGCGAAAGCGUGGGUAGCAAACAGGAUUAGAUACCCGGGUAGUC